rnacentral:tRNA from 1 species
ACCUAGCUGUCUCAGCCUGUAGAGCAUGUGACUCUAAAUCUCAGGGUCGUGAGUUCAAGCCUCACAUUGGGCA